rnacentral:misc_RNA from 1 species
GUUUGCUUGCAAACGAACAACCCCGACUAUAAUUACAUCGAUAAGUAAUACAACGUAGGUAGACGAAAACUAGUCAAGUAAAUACACUGUAUCAAAGAUUGCUCAAAAAAGUACUAAUCAGAUCUCGAUGAAAUUUGAAUGAGACUGCGACAAGCACCACCUAUUGAUUAAAAUAGAAUCAUCGAAAUCGGUCCACUCAAUAAAAAGUUAUGAGGAACGACGGUCGAAGAAAAAAUGAUCAAGUAAAUACGCAUUAUCGUAUAAAAUGAAUGUUUAAGUAAGAUAUCUUUAUAAAAAUUGCAUUUCUGAGGGAUUUUAUGAGAUACCUCAAUUUUUGGACUUCCGCGGUUCUGAUGUACUUUCGUGAAAGUGCUUAAACACCGCCAGUCGCGGGUUCGAUUCCGUUCUAUUCUUAUCUUUAUUUCGUUCUAUUCCGGUCUGGAUGUCUAUCCUUGUCGGUCUCCCCACCAUGUCACCAUGUCGAUUGUCGCAUUACGUUAAGCUAGUGGUCCAGGUUGUUAUCAUAGUCACCUGAUAGCGAUAGUUAUUCUUCGGAAAUAUAAUUAUCCGCCAUACAGCAGUGGAGUAGCAUGGUGGAUUACACUCUGGUCUUUGUUAUUCAUGUAGAAAGAGGAUUAACCCAGCAGUUGGAUGUUACAAGUUGAAACAAUCAAUCUAUUAAUUU